AAAACCCCACCCCUUAACUCUAAAGCCUAAGGUUUGGAUUAAUUAACCUAAGGGGUAUAAGUGUAUAUUUACCUCUUUAAUGAAACCUAUUUUUGUGACUUUGAACCUUGAGUGCUACUUUGGAAACAAAAACUUGGUUUGGUGCUAUCCUAGUCUUUUUCUCUUCCAAAAAUUUACUUUGCAAAUAAUAGUAUAGAUUGUUGUGCAUGAAUCAACUGAUUGUCGUGCUUUAUUUUUUUCAGUUUCAAAGCAAUAUAAAUAUACAUAAGAUUUACAUAUAUUAUUAUAUUUGUUCUUUGCAAUUAUACAUAUUUAUUGUAUUUGAUUUGUAGUAUAUGAAUUUUCUACUGGAUUUUACUAUUUACAAUAUUUUAUUAUAAAUAUAUUAAUUUUGGAGUUUAAUAUAUAUAUAUUUAUAUAUACGACUCUAACACAUACCCCACUUCCUAAAGUUUUCUAAUAAUGUGUUUUCGUGUUUCUGUGUAUCCGCUUCCAAUUCCAUGUAACGUAGUGAAAAACUUCCAUUAAAAUUGCUCUUAGAUUAUUGAUUUGUCAAAUGAUUCAAAGCUUUCUAAUCAGGCCGGAGGCUUGCCUCCAUUUGUAGCUACACUUUGGUUUGGCUUAAUUUCGGGCAAAGAAUCUUGAAAGUAGAGAAGUGAAAGAUGCUUCCAGGGGAGACUUAUAACAUAUCAUCUCCGAGACUCCUACCCUAGAGUUCAUAGAGACUUGCGCAUCAAGCCAUCCACUGUGGCGAUUACGUUAUCUUCCGGAUCAGCGUAUGCUCUUUAGCUAUUCAACCUUCAUAAUCUUCACACUGUGGUUCUUGUUGUAGGGAGACAUUAGUGUAACGACCCGAUCCUGGUCUCGGAGUUUGUUAGCCAGCUAAGUCAUAUGCAUUUACCUGUAAGACAAUUAUUUUCCUAUAAAUACCCACCUUUCACAUUGAUUUCUCCUUUUGCAACAAGAAAAUAAAAAUCAGAAGUUAGAGAGAAGAAGAAAUGAGAGAGAGAGAGAGAGUGAGAGAAAGAAAGAUAAAAACCAAUGCAUGUUGCCACCAGAGAUCGCCAGAGCCACCACACGCCAGGACAUCGUCAAGCUCGUCAUCACCGUCAACCGCAGAUUAGAAUCGCCGGAAACCGCCGCCUCUUAAGCUUUGUUUUCGUCCGUUCAGUAAAUCGGCUAUAUCUCCCUAACCGUUGAGAAUCGCUCGCAUGCAAGACCAUCAUCGUGUUCCCCUCGUCGGGACGAAGCCGUAGACACCGACCACGCCGCAAUCGGAGCUCAGACGAAGCCGUACGCGCUUUCAGAAGUUACAACGACCUAGCGCGUGUACUCGACGCACCGCCGCCGGAUAUCGCCUCCGCCGUCGCCGUCGGUCAACUUUACGGUAAGACGCCGCCGCCCUCCGCCGUCGCGGCCGGUGACCGAUACCGGUGACGGGCCGGUGACUCGGUCAACUCGGCCGAGUCAACUCAGCGAGUCAACUCGGUUGACUCGGUAAACUGGUUGUUUGACCGGUUUAAAUUAAUUUCGGUUCGGUUAAGGUAAACCGGUCGGUUAUGUCAUAUCGAUUUCUGGUCAAGAGUUGACCGGGUUGACCUUUGACCAGCGGGUUGACUUUUCCGCAAACCUUGACCAGUUCCGUUUUUAACCGUUCGAAAGGCGUUCUGACUCAGAAUUUCGAUCUGAUUUCAGAUAUGGAAGCUAUUUGAGCAGCUGGAGUUCAUAGACAUUACUUCUCCUAAUUGCUAAGGUGAGACAAAUAAGUAUGUGAUAUUUUGACGGACUUGGUGCUACUGGACUUUUCUUUCGGAUUUUAUUUGGGCUUGGGUGAGCGUUACUGGGUUUAUGGGCUUUUAUAUUAUGGGAUAUUGUUGAUGGCCCGUCGUCCUUAGUGAGAAGGAGACGGAUGUCAUAUUGUUGUAUGAUGACGCGUCGGAGGUAACACGCUGUCUUCCAGAUAGGAGGUGACGGGUGUCGCAAUUAGUCUCGAGAGAAGUGCCAAAUUAGGAUUCAUAUCAUUCGUGCGGUACUAGAAAAGGGUUUCAUAUUGUAUUUAAUUCGCUUGAUAAAGCUAAUACAGGAGAAUAAAUCGAAAUACGAAAAGUCCUCCUACUUGACUAAUAGGCAUUGUGUUUAUUGAGUUUUC